AUCACCCGGACCUGCUCAGCCCUUCAGCCCUGCCUCGUGGGUGCCCACCUGACCUGCUCUGCUCUUAUGUCCAGCCCUCGGGCCAGGAGCAGGGUAUGGUUGCGGCCCGACCAGAGCAAGACGUAGCUUCUGCGAUCCAGCAGAGGCAGGAGUGAGCUGCAGCCCAUAGAGUUCAGGGAGCUGCCGCAGCACAGGGAGUUCAGGGAGAGGUUGUGGCACCUGCUCCCACUAACUGUGCUCGUUGUUGUUGGAUAUGAGACCUAAUAUGGAUGGUAACUGAACUGUGAUGGGACGUGAGACUGUUUGUGUAAAGGGAGCAGAGUCGGGGGGCAGGACACAGCCCUGGGGGGCUCCUGUGCUGAGAUGAAAGGUUCGUUCACCUUAACCCACUGUCUCCAGAUCCAGUGGAGCAUGAAGGAGCUGAUGCUCAGCUGUGUUUGUGUUCCCUAUAAGUCUGUAAAAGAACACAUUUAGUUCGGUUUCAUUCAGUUUAAAGCACUUUAGUUGGAACUUAAACAAAACAGAUUCUUUACAUCAUUUAAACAUCAUUUAAGUUCCAACAUUUAGACCAAAACUCAUUUUAAUUCAACCUCUUGAAGCCAAGAGAGACACAUCAUGUUAAACAGCUGAUCUGUGUGAGCACCACACACACACAGUUGUGUUUCCGUCACCUUCGGGGACAUUACAUUCACUUACAUUCAUUACCUGGAGACUUACCCUAACCUUACACCAAGUCUUCAGCCUAAAGUUUGAUGAUUUCAUUAUAGGGACGGACAUUUUGUCCCCACAAUGUGACUGUGUAAACAAAUUUCUGUCCCCACAACAUUAGUAAUACCUGCCCACACACACACAGAUAAACUCACCUGAUUUCCUGUAAAAGGAGAGGGGCGGAGCAACACUGACCCGGUGAUCCAGGUACGUAAGAACAGGGCGGGAACCUGAAGCUGAAAGUGUUCAGUUAGUUCAGACUCCAUUUUGAGUCGACAGAGCAGAAGGAGGAAACUGAAGGCUGAGGCAUGGUGAGUGUUAAUCCAACAUCUUUAUUAUCUUACCGUCAAAGUCUGUGAGUCGGUUUCCUCCCUGUGGACUGUACAGGAAAGAAAUGUGAGAAUGACCAGUUUGAUUAAUCUGUGGACACAAAGUCCUUAUGUAUACUGCGCGUGCUGCUUCCUGUUGUCAGUCUUGUUUGUGACUCUUGAAUAAACUUGUUCCUCCUGAUUCUCGUUAGAGAAGUUAAAGAAAAGUGACCAGGUGGAGCUGAUUUAUUAAACUGUGUGUUAUUAUACUGUAUACUGUGUGUGUGUGUGUGUGUGUGUGUACCGUGGCAUUGCAGGGACGGUUGUCAUGGUCACCCAGUCCUUUGUAAGGUAGCAGGUAUUCAUCAGCGUCGACCACAUCCUCCAUGUCAUCCGAGCUCAGCAGGCGAGUAAAACCUGCUGUCUGCAGGGCUGGGGAGGUCACCCUGAGACAGGAGUCAGAGCGCUUCAUUCACUAACAGCCACGAGGGCUACAGCUCACUGAAAGUGACCCAGCUGGGGUCAAUAUAGCACCGACGACCACACUGGGUUCUCUCUUCCCAGUACCGGUGGGUCGUGUUUUGAAAUAUUACUGUUCAUCACUAAAAUCUGGUUAUUUUGAGCAACAAGCUCAAGUUUGACCUGAAAACAGACAGACUUUACAUGUAUUCUUAACAAUUAAUGACAAACAGUGACAUGUAAGCAAAGGCGGAGGUUUGGUUUUAACUUUGGCAUGUCUGGUCGGAUGACUAAUAUGUGUGCACAUGUAUGUUUAAAGUUGCUCUGCUGAGUUUCGGUGUGCAGGAAGUUCUUUCUUCAUUUUAUGAUUCGAAGUACUUGAUUUAAAAACAGCGGUCCUUUCAGACAGACAGACAGAGAGACAGGUAGACAGACAGACAGACACUUACAGGCAUGUGGAGUCUCAGCGGCCUCCUCUUCCUCCUGCAGCUCCUCUCCUCCUCCUCCUCCUCCUCCUCCUCUCUCCUCUACGCAGUGCUUCUCAUCUCCAGUCAGAAAGUCAGGACACCACACUGCCUCUGCAAGUCUGAGACUGUUCUGCAGUACUGAGACUGUUCUGAGACUGUUCUGCAGGUCUGAGACUGUUCUGAGACUGUUCUGAGACCGUUCUGCAGUUCUGAGACUUUUCUGCAGUUCUGAGACUGUUCAGAGACUGUUCUGCAGUUCUGAGACUGAUCUGCAGUACUGAGACUGUUCAGAGACUGUUCUGCAGUUCUGAGCCUGUACUAACACUGUUCUACAGUACUGAGACUGUUCUGCAGUACUGAGACUGUUCUGCAGUACUGAGACUGUUCUGAGGCUGUUCUUCAGUUGUAAGACUGUUCUGAGGCUGUCCUGCAGUUCUGAGACUGUUCUGCAGUUCUGAACCUGUACUAACACUGUUCUACAGUACUGAGACUGUUCUGCAGUUCUGAGACUAUUCUGCAGUUCUGAGCCUGUUCUGAGACUGUUCUGCAGUUCUGAGCCUGUUCUGAGACUGUUCUGCAGUACUGAGCCUGUUCUGAGACUGUUCUUCAGUUCUAAGACUGUUCUGAGACUGUUCUGCAGUUCUGAGACUGUUCUGCAGUUCUGAGCCUGUUCUAACACUGUUCUGCAGUACUGUUCUCCGUGACGGAGCGCAGCGGGUUACGCACGACGCAGCUGAGACUGUUCUGCAGUUCUGAGCCUGUUCUGAGACUGUUCUGCAGUACUGAGACUGUUCUGAGACUGUUCUGCAGGUCUGAGACUGUUCUGAGACUGUUCUGAGACCGUUCUGCAGUUCAGAGACUGUUCUGCAGUUCUGAGACUGUUCUGCAGUACUGAGACUGGUCAGAGACUGUUCUGCAGUUCUGAGACUGUUCUGCAGUACUGAGCGUGUUCUGAGACUGUUCUGCAGUACUGAGACUGUUCUGCAGUACUGAGACUGUUCUGAGGCUGUUCUUCAGUUCUAAGACUGUUCUGAGGCUGGUCUGCAGUUCUGAGCCUGUACUAACACUGUUCUACAGUACUGAGACUGUUCUGCAGUUCUGAGACUAUUCUGCAGUUCUGAGCCUGUUCUGAGACUGUUCUGCAGUACUGAGACUGUUCUGAGACUGUUCUGCAGUACUGAGCCUGUUCUGAGACUUUUCUGCAGUUCUGAGACUGUUCUGCAGUUCUGAGACUUUUCUGCAGUACUGAGCGUGUUCUGAGACUGUUCUGCAGUACUGAGACUGUUCUGCAGUACUGAGACUGUUCUGAGGCUGUUCUUCAGUUCUAAGACUGUUCUGAGGCUGUUCUGCAGUUCUGAGACUGUUCUGCAGUUCUGAGACUAUUCUGCAGUUCUGAGCCUGUUCUGAGACUGUUCUGCAGUUCUGAGCCUGUUCUGAGACUGUUCUUCAGUACUGAGCCUGUUCUGAGACUGUUCUUCAGUUCUAAGACUGUUCUGAGACUGUUCUGCAGUUCUGAGACUGUUCUGCAGUUCUGAGCCUGUUCUGAGACUGUUCUGCAGUUCUGAGCCUGUUCUAACACUGUUCUGCAGUACUGUUCUCCGUGACGGAGCGCAGCGGGUUACGCACGACGCAGCGCACGCACUGGUUUGGAGGAGAGAGGAUACUGUUAUUAUGACUACAGCUAAUGUCACCGCUGCUGCUGCUGAUGGCGCUGUGCUGGGUGGAGUCAGGUCACUUUGUGAAACUACCCGAAGUGUAACUUUUACAGCUCGUUAAGUGUGUGUGUGUGUGUGUGUGUGUGUGUGUGUGUGUGUGUGUGUGUGUGUGUGUGCAACAAAGAUGUCUAAUUCUGGACUCACUGCAUCUUUGAUAUAUUUUUCAGUGACAGGGCGGCACAGAAUAACCCAGUAACUCUGAUGUCAUGGCACCUGGCAGAAACAUGCCGGUGUCACUUCGGAUGCAUUCAGAUUGUAGAAACUUCACACAUCCUGACGUUAACAACUCAUCUAACUUGUCAUGUGAUAGUUUUCCGUCUGACUGAGGAAGAUUCAAGUGUUGCACAUUUCCAGCCGAGGUGUGUUUUUGGUCCUUCGGGAAAAUGAGAACAUGAAGGAUGUCUGAUAUGUGAUUCAACAACAGAUGGAGAGCAGGGUUGACUUUGUUGGUUUGGACAGCAGGUGGCGCUGCUGCAUCAACAAUCAGCGGAGACUCAAACACACAAACGUACCUUUAUCUCCUCUACAUUUCCAGCAGGCUGCAAACACUUUUAAACCCAGUCUAUAAAACCUACUGGCUGCUGCUACCUAUGGCAGCAGCCAUCCCCUGCUCCGGUUGGGCCACAACCUCCUGAACUCUCUGAGCUGCAGCAACCUCCCAAACUCUCUGAGCUGCAGCAACCUCCCGAACUCUCUGAGCUGCAGCAACCUCCCGAACUCUCUGAGCUGCAGCAACCUCCCGAACUCUCUGAGCUGCAGCAACCUCCCGAACUCUCUGAGCUGCAGCAACCUCCCGAACUCUCUGAGCUGCAGCAACCUCCCGAACUCUCUGAGCUGCAGCAACCUCCCGAACUCUCUGAGCUGCAGCAACCUCCCGAACUCUCUGAGCUGCAGCAACCUCCCAAACUCUCUGAGCUGCAGCAACCUCCUGAACUCUCUGAGCUGCACCAACUUCCUGAACUCUCUGAGCUGCAGCAACCUCCUGAUCCACCUGUGCGGCAGCCUCCUGGUUCCCUGGCAGCACUGGUUCCACCGGCUUCUCUGCCAGUCUCUCCGUCGCAAGCCUCCUGUCCUGCUGCCCUGUCACCAGACCCUGGUCUUCAUCUCCAGCCAUGCCGCCGACCUCCAGAAGGCUUCCGCCUUCGCUGCUGGCCUCCAGUGGCCUUCUGUCUACACCUCAGCAUCCGGUUCGACCCCCGGAGGGUCCCCACCUUCGUCCCCGACCUCCUGAGUUGCUCCGUACGUCUGAUCAUCACCCGGACCUGCUCAGCCCUUCAGCCCUGCCUCGUGGGUGCCCACCUGACCUGCUCUGCUCUUAUGUCCAGCCCUCGGGCCAGGAGCAGGGUAUGGUUGCGGCCCGACCGGAGCAAGACGUAGCUUCUGCGAUCCAGCAGAGGCAGGAGUGAGCUGCAGCCCAUAGAGUUCAGGGAGCUGCCGCAGCACAGGGAGUUCAGGGAGAGGUUGUGGCACCUGCUCCCUCUAACUGUGCUCGUUGUUGUUGGAUAUGAGACCUAAUAUGGAUGGUAACUGAACUGUGAUGGGACGUGAGACUGUUUGUGUAAAGGGAGCAGAGUCGGGGGGCAGGACACAGCCCUGGGGGGCUCCUGUGCUGAGAUGAAAGGUCGUUCACCUUAACCCACUGUCUCCAGAUCCAGUGGAGCAUGAAGGAGCUGAUGCUCAGCUGUGUUUGUGUUCCCUAUAAGUCUGUAAAAGAACACAUUUAGUUCGGUUUCAUUCAGUUUAAAGCACUUUAGUUGGAACUUAAACAAAACAGAUUCUUUACAUCAUUUAAACAUCAUUUAAGUUCCAACAUUUAGACCAAAACUCAUUUUAAUUCAACCUGUUGAAGCCAAGAGAGACACAUCAUGUUAAACAGCUGAUCUGUGUGAGCACCACACACACACACACACACACAGUUGUGUUUCCGUCACUUUCGGGGACAUUACAUUCACUUACAUUCAUUACCUGGAGACUUACCCUAACCUUACACCAAGUCUUCAGCCUAAAGUUUGAUGAUUUCAUUAUAGGGACGGACAUUUUGUCCCCACAAUGUGACUGUGUAAACAAAUUUCUGUCCCCACAACAUUAGUAAUACCUGCCCACACACACACAGAUAAACUCACCUGAUUUCCUGUAAAAGGAGAGGGGCGGAGCAACACUGACCCGGUGAUCCAGGUACGUAAGAACAGGGCGGGAACCUGAAGCUGAAAGUGUUCAGUUAGUUCAGACUCCAUUUUGAGUCGACAGAGCAGAAGGAGGAAACUGAAGGCUGAGGCAUGGUGAGUGUUAAUCCAACAUCUUUAUUAUCUUACCGUCAAAGUCUGUGAGUCGGUUUCCUCCCUGUGGACUGUAGAGGAAAGAAAUGUGAGAAUGACCAGUUUGAUUAAUCUGUGGACACAAAGUCCUUAUGUAUACUGCGCGUGCUGCUUCCUGUUGUCAGUCUUGUUUGUGACUCUUGAAUAAACUUGUUCCUCCUGAUUCUCGUGAGAGAAGUUAAAGAAAAGUGACCAGGUGGAGCUGAUUUAUUAAACUGUGUGUUAUUAUACUGUA